rnacentral:rRNA from 1 species
GACGAACGCUGGCGGCGUGCUUAACACAUGCAAGUCGAACGGAAAGGCCCUGCUUUUGUGGGGUGCUCGAGUGGCGAACGGGUGAGUAACACGUGAGUAACCUGCCCUUGACUUUGGGAUAACUUCAGGAAACUGGGGCUAAUACCGGAUAGGAGCUCCUGCUGCAUGGUGGGGGUUGGAAAUUUUCGGCGGUUGGGGAUGGACUCGCGGCUUAUCGGCUUGUUGGUGGGGUAGUGGCUUACCAAGGCUUGGGCGGGUAGCCGGCCUGAGAGGGUGACCGGCCACAUUGGGACUGAGAUACGGCCCAGACUCCUACGUGCGGCAGCAGUGGGAAAUAUUGCACAAUGGGCGGAAGCCUGAUGCAGCGACGCCGGGUGCGGGAUGACGGCCUUCGGGUUGUAAACCGCUUUCGCCUGUGACGAAGCGUGUGUGACGGUAAUGGGUAAAGAAGCACCGGCUAACUACGUG